ensembl:lncRNA
UAUUAGUCUGAUAGCACGCGUGCAUCAAAUAUGUAAACCUCAAAUAAUAUUCAUGAGAAUGGAUGAUGAGCUUUCACACUUUUCCUAGAGCAGACAGUGAAAACGGUAUCUGACAAUAAAGUUCAUUAAGUUAAUUAAGAUAAUUCACAAGACGGUGGUCUAAAUAAUGAUAACGGGGAGUUCUGAGGAUAAAACGUCUCCGGUGAAAACACCUUCACGAUUCCCUGCGCGUGCCUUUCGCUUCGUUCAAACGAGACUUCUUCAUUAGACCGAACGAGAUGAACUUCAGUUGGCCUGGGAUUUUAAUUUAGUCCAGCUAGGCGGAUAUUUAAUCAUGCCUAAUUCAAUCGUAUCGGUACUCUAUAUGAGAUCAUUGUUACACGCGCGCUACGAUGCCAACACGUUAACGGAUGCAACUAAGCAACUUACAUCAGCCUACACAGUCACGAUCAUCGAGGGGCGAUUCAAGUCUUAAGUCAGAUGCUUAGAAAGAGAACACGACAAUGUAAUGUUCUCCUUUGUCAACGAAGUGCACCAACUAUUGCACGGUAGCAUGCAACGAACAAUAGCCCGAGAGACCGAGAGACGCGUGCAAACUUACCUUAUAAGCAUGCGCUGUCGUUUCGAGAUGAUAGUCAACGAUGAAGGAAUAAAAUCAGCGUGAGAGCGAAUAAAACAGACCUUUCCGUAAACCCCUCCUAUCCUAUUGGAAGUGGUCACCCAUCACCAGCGAUGGGACAUCCCUCCUCCUCUCCAUCCUCCUCCUCCUCCUCUCUGGGACUCCGGCACUGAUGUUCAAGGGGAUACUUAUAUGUUUGGAGUGUUUGGAAAUCUGUUAUUUAACUCGUCAUCACACCGCUACGCACAAACAACGGGGACGCCAGAGUUGCACUUGCCUCAAAUUUCAAAGACAUUUGCAGUGUGCCAAAGUGGACUUUGAUCUGGACUCCUGGCUUCACCCCUAUCGACAAAUACCACAGCAGACUCAGAUUCAACCACCACUGCUGCCACCACCGCUGCCUCCAUCCUACAGCGCAACUGCAUCUGCGCCGCAGCCCUUGCCGCCGCAACAACUUCAACAGCAUCAUCAUCAUCAUCCAGACCAUCUGCUCUGCCACCAGCAACGGUGUAAGAGCAAUGAAAUGCUCAGUUACUGGAGUCAGUGCCAGAUCUAA